AAAUUUAUCAUCAUUAACUAUCCAAAAGCAAAAGCUUUAGCCGAAAUUAAUUUCAUACAAGCAAAAUUAACUGCCAAAACAAAAUAAGCAGAAGACCCCAACAUUUAUUGAACCUUUAAUCAUGCUGCCAAAACACAAUUCUCAAUCUCACCCAUUGCAGAAGUGUAAGCAUUCAAAUGGCCCCCAAAAUACAGACACAAAUGCAUAGAUAAUGAUUGCACUUGCCAUAAAUAUCGCUCUAGGGCUUACAAAAUCACAAUUAAACAAGAAAAGCUCUUGUGACCUAGCCAUUCAUCAGAAACACAGAAAACCAAAAUCAAGAAGUUCAAAAUUUCGCAGCUAGAAAACCUAAUCCACAAAAU
rnacentral:misc_RNA from 1 species